GAUGAAGAACGUAGCGAAAUGCGAUACGUAAUGUGAAUUGCAGAAUUCAGCGAAUCAUCGAAUCUUUGAACGCAUAUUGCGCUCUCUGGUAUUCCGGAGAGCAUGCUUGUUUGAGUAUCAGUAAACACCUCAACUCCCCUUUCUUUUUUGAAAUGGGAGCUGGACUUGAGUGAUCCCAACGCUUUUCUCACCGAAAAGUGGCGGGUUACUUGAAAUGCAGGUGCAGCUGGACUUUUCUCUGAGCUAAAAGCAUAUCUAUUUAGUCUGCCUAAAAACAGAUUAUUACCUUUGCUGCAGCUAACAUAAAGGAGAUUAGUUCUUGUGCUGACUGAUGCAGGAUUCACAGAGACAGCUUCGGCUGGCCUUUGUAAACUCGAUCUCAAAUCAAGUAAGACUACCCGCUGAACUUAAGCAUAUCAAUAAGCGGAGGA
rnacentral:misc_RNA from 1 species